AUUGAACGCUGGCGGCAGGCCUAACACAUGCAAGUCGAGCGGAUGAAGGGAGCUUGCUCCUGGAUUCAGCGGCGGACGGGUGAGUAAUGCCUAGGAAUCUGCCUGGUAGUGGGGGAUAACGUCCGGAAACGGGCGCUAAUACCGCAUACGUCCUGAGGGAGAAAGUGGGGGAUCUUCGGACCUCACGCUAUCAGAUGAGCCUAGGUCGGAUUAGCUAGUUGGUGGGGUAAAGGCCUACCAAGGCGACGAUCCGUAACUGGUCUGAGAGGAUGAUCAGUCACACUGGAACUGAGACACGGUCCUGACUCCUGCGGGAGGCAGCAGUGGGGAAUAUUGGACAAUGGGCGGAAACCUGAUCCAGCCGUGCCGCGUGUGUGAAGAAGGUCUUCGGAUUGUAAAGCACUUUAAGUUGGGAGAAAGGGCAGUAAGUUAAUACCUUGCUGUUUUGACGUUACCAACAGAAUAAGCACCGGCUAACUUCGUG
rnacentral:rRNA from 1 species